rnacentral:lncRNA from 1 species
UCUUUAUUACAAAAAGUUACAAGUUACAACAAAUUUACAUUAUGUUUAUCAGAGUGGUUACAAAAGUAAUUCAAAGAAAUAAACUUUGAAAUGUUAUAAAUUAUUUAUAAUUUUGAAAUAUAUGCUAGCUUAAUGACAAUCCUCAAUAAGAAGCAUAGAAGAGCUACUUUAACCUAUAAGAAGGUCGUGCCCACCGGCGCUUAACACCAUCCACAACAACACAAUUCUAGUAUCUGCAACAACAUGGGUUCGAAAACCAUGAGUACGAAGUGUACUUUCGCAAGUCUUACUCAUCUAAGGAAAAAGACUCUCAAGGAUAUGCUGGCUUUUGGGAAUCAAGGUAAAGUUUAACAAGAUUCAAAGACUCUUUUGCAGAAAAGCUUAAUAUGAGUGGAUCCUUAAGAAUUCAUUUUACUUGUCAGGUUAAGUAAAGUUACCUGCAUCUAGAGUUCUUUCUAUCCUAGUUCAAACACUUGGCCUACACUAGCCGUCUUUUAUCAACCCUUUAGUUCACUGGAUUGCUACGUGUAAGUCAGUGACCAAGUCUUCAUGUCCGAGAAGUAACAGCGAUCCGAAUCGAUUAAUACUCAGUUGAGGAUCUCUAGCCACACGACCUAUGUAGCACUUAACCCUUGCAUAUGUCAACUCGCCACCGGGUUUCUCAAGACCAGACCGGGUUCACGCCAAUCGAGAGCACAGAAACACCACCGUCCAGCCUCUUGCCACAGAGGGUACACGCUACUCUCGCCAUCUCUCCACUCCCAUUGCGUGUUGGCCUUUCUGGUAUUGGUUCGACUGAGGCAAAGCUUACCCAUGACGAGGCAUGUUUGCUAGUUAAAGGGUCCUCAGUUAGCAGGCCCACAUCGACAUGGUCCCUAAGCGACUCAGAUGGAGACACUACACCGAGACUUCCUUCUCGUGCAAGUCACCCGCCCGGUCUGGUCUUUAUUAUUUAAACCCAAAGUUUGGUACCUGGCAGAGGUACAUCUUUUCAGAUGUUGAACCCAUCAAGGCCUUUGAUGGAUUCACCCUCAUAAGUCUUUUCUUUUGAAAAAUUCCCAUCCACUAUGAAGCAUCACUUUUUGUUUAAAACAAAACAUUUUGUUUUUCUAUAGCAAGGCUAAGCAUCAUAAAAUCCUUUUCAUAAAAGGGUAUCAAAGAAGGGUAAUCAAUUUUCCAAGGAAGGAAAUGCAUUAGUUGUUUAGCACACAACUCCUAUCACCUAAUGCAUCAUAUAAGGUGAUAAAGAUUUUAAAACACAAGGAAAGGGAUAAUGCACCGGGCUUGCCUAGAAUAACAAUAGGUUAGUGUUUGUUAGACAUCAAUCACUUGACGACCAUCCUUUGUCUUGGUACUAGUUCAAAUUAUCCAUCUUCAGGUUGGUCCAUCAACAUCACCUUUUUGAGUAGCUUGCGCUUUAUGACAUCUUGUGGUCGACUUGGUUCUGGUCCUUGAUUAAUUAAUGUACCUAAAUGAUUUGCAUAAUGCACAUGAAUGCAUAUAAACAAUAAUAGUACAAGACUAAAUAUUGUUGUACCAAAGAGAAUUAGACACGCAUAGCAAGACGUUGUCAACUCUAAUAUGCAAAUACUCGAUAUUUUUGACUUUCUAAGACAACGAUCAUGAACUUUCAGUUAAUCGGAUCCAACUCAGGCAUCAAGCAACAAUAACUAUAAAUACACACUAUGUUACCCUUAAUUAAAGCAUAACAUGGAGAGUCUAAUAAAACUCCGACUCACUAUUACCGGACACCCAUGACUCAGACUAAGAAUAGAAACCAUUCAAUUAACUUCUAGAAUUACUAUUUUCGGCUAUUAUGCGUAGGACCAACUAAAUUAAAUAUCUCAUUUAUCCUUAAUCUAAGAAGUAGAAUGUGACAGAACCUCCCAAGUCAUUAGGCCCACCUACAGUUGUCCUUGUCCAACGGACCUCAGACAACCCUGCAGGUGCACCUGAUCACUUGACAAGUUCGGUAUCUGAAUUUCUUACCUUGCUCAAGAGCGUUUCACCCGUCACGCAGACAUUACAAUACAUCGGAGGUACGAAAAUGCGGAAGCAGUUACAAUAACUUGCUUUAUUUAAAGGUAAGAAAGAGUAGUAUUUAUUACAAACCAGAACAACUAUAAGAGUGCUGAGUAUUAUUAUUACAUAACCUGGGAGGUAAAAACCCCUCCCGAUAAACGGUAAAAAGUUUUUCUUAACGGAGGACUCUUCCUUCCGCAUCUUUAGUCUUGAUUUUCUUCUUUAGGUACCACCUUGGAACAGAAGCAACAAAAGUUUGCUGCUUCUUCACCUAAAACAACAUGGGACAAAGCCCUGAGUACGAAAUGUACUUUCGCAAGUCUUACCCGUCAAAAUAAAAGACUCUCAAGGAUAUGCUGGCCUUUAGGAGUCAAGGUAUGGCUUAUCAAUAAUCAAAGACUCUGUUUGCAGAAAUGCUUACUAAUAGUGGAUCCUUAAAAAUCUAGUUUUAAUUGUCAGGUUAAGUAAAGUUACCUGUAUCUAGAGUUCUUUAUACCCUAGUUCAAGCACUUGACCUAUACUAGCCAAUUUCUUAUCAACCCUUCUUGUUCACUGGAAUGCUACGUGUAGGGCAGUGACCAAGUCUUCAUUUCCAUGAAGUUACGGCGAUCCGAAUCGAUUAUACUCAGCUGAGGAUCUCUAAUCACAUGAAAUAUGUAGCACUUAACCCUUGCAUAUGUCAACUCGCCACCGGGGUUCUUAAGACUAGAUCAGGUUCACGCCAACCGAGAGCACAGAUACACCACCAUACAGCCUCUUGCCAUGGAGGGUACAUGCUACUCUUGCCAUCUCUCCACUCCCAUUGCGUGUUAUCUUAUUCUGGUAUUAGUCUGCCCGAGGCAAAGCUUACCCAUGAUGAGGCAUGUGACCAGUUAAAGGGUCCUCGAUCAGCAAGCCUACAUCGACAAGGUCCUUAAUUGACUCAGACGGAGACACUACACCGAGACUCUCUUCUCGUGCAAGUCACCCGCUCGGUCUCAGCUUUAUCAUUUCAAACCCAACGUUUGGUACCUGGCAGAGGUACAUCUUUUCUGAUGUUGAACCCAUCAUGGCCAUGAUGGAUCCACCAUCAAGUUGUGUUUUUGAAAACAUCCCACCCACUUUGAAGCACCAUCUUUUGUCAAAACAAAACAUUUUGUUUUCUAGAGUAAAGCUAAGCAUAAGAAAAACCUUUUAGUAAAUCAGGGGAUUAAAGGGAAGUAAUCAAAUCCAAGGAAGUGAGAAAGAUUUCAAAAUAAUGCAUCAAAUCCAAGCAACUGGUUUAGUAGACAACUCCUAUUACCUAAUGCAUCAAGUAAGUGAGAAAGAUUUCAAAAUAACAAGAGAGUGGCAAAUGCACUGGGGCUUGCCUUGUGUGAUAGGUGAAUCAGGCUCUGUUCCGUAGAUAUCAAAAUAAAAACGGUUUCCUUCCUGAGGUUCUUCAGGUGGUGGUGGUGAAGUCCUUGCUUCUUCAACUUCUAUUUCCUCUUCGAUCUCUAGAUAUAACCAUAUAUAAUCAUGAAUGCUCAUGUAAUGCUCAUGAAAUGCUCAUGAAAGUGCUAAGAUAAUAAAAGUUUAUUAUCUAAUGUCUUGAAUAUAACUUUCCUUCACGGAUCUCCGGGAAACUAGGGUUUUCGGAGUCUAUAGUGAAGUUCAUAGGGCGGGGGGGCUAGGGUUUUGGGUUCUAAGUAUCAAACAUGGUCCAUAUUAUACCAAACUUUACCCAAGGCUUCUAAAUAAUAUUUAAAGCUUAUUUAAAAAGUUUGGUGAAUUUUGGAAUUAUUAACUAUUCUCUAAACUUCCAGAAGUAUGGAUUUUGGCGAUUUUAAAUGUCCCAUAAUUCCCUAUUGGAACUAAAAAUCAGGAAACUAUUUUUAUUAAAUACUAUAAGAAAUUAGAAUCCUAGCAAAAUUGGUCUGGUAUUUUUAGAAUUUUUCUACAAUUUUUUAUGGAUUUCUAAAGCUUCUCGGAAAAAGAAAAAGAAAAUCUUUCAACAGUGUUGGGCCAGAACUGACCCAACCGACCCAACCCGAAACAGAAAACGGGGACGCGCCCCCGCGCGCGCGCCUGCUUUGGCAAAUUUGCAUAGAGGCCCCCGAUGGCUUGGAUAACUCGUUAAAAACCCCUAGCCACUAUUCAUCGUCUCUCUGACAGUUACACAGAGGUCCCCUGACUUCUGUUUCUUCUCCAAACAGACCCAUGGCCACGACGCGCUCGCCGUCGAUCACCACACGACUCGGACUGGCCAUGACCGGCGUUGGCUGCCCAAAUUAACUAAUGGACAAGCAUCACCGAGCCGAGGCAAACCCAUAACGAGCUUUAAUUUGGCUUGCACACUUAGAGAAUGUUCUACCCACGCGCACGACAGAAAACCGCGACAUCGAGCCCGCGUUCCCAUUCAAUCACGCUUGAAUUGGUCAAAUGGUUGCCACGAUGAGCUUCAUGGGUACGCAGAGCUGCUAAAACAAUACGCGAGAAGUGCAGAACCAUACCAGAAUGGUCCGGCGACGGAGCGCGGAGAAUUUCCACUUGCCGGAGACUAAGAAGGGGGAAAAUGGCGUCGCGACGGGCUCUGGUGAAAUUGGGAGGUGAGAUUGGGGCUACACGGUCGCAAAGUGCUACCGAUUCACCGUGCACACUUAAUUUAGGGAGAGGUGGAGAAGGCAGUGUGAAUUUUGGCUUUUCCCAAGCUCGCUGGUGAAGCUGUGAGUGCCUUGCCGUGGUUCAUGGAGCUAUUUAUAGCCACGACAGUCUAGCUAACGAUCAGCGGCCGCGGAUUGCAUUGUUCACGCAUGGCAACCACGUAGAUAAGAGGCACAGUAAGGGGAAAACAAGGCAUGGGUGACACCGCGGCGGAAGUGACCGAGCCACGGCGACCGCCGGUGGGAUACCUCAGGCCACGCACGGCUGGGUUCGCGGGAUGGUGCCACGUCCGAAGUUAUCUCUCCGCGAUCGACUACCUUCACUGGAUCACUCGAGCACAUCCGGUUCAAUAGUGCCUUAGAUCUUAUCCGUGUUCUUCAGAUAUUUACAGUGCUUUGAUCUUCAGCGUUUUACUGAACCGACCACCUUUCAUCCUCUCUAUCUCCUAAUUCUUGUUAAGGAUAGGGUAACCUCCCUUAAUAAAAUUUGUUCCCCAAACAAUAGUCUUUAAGUUUGUUAUAGGGUUCAUGGAUCAAUUCUAUAUAGAUUCUCAGAUUUGGUGCUCUCAAAGUGACUGCAUUUCACUGGGACCAUUCUUUUCUGAAUCCAGUGUUUAGAACUGCCCAAUUGGCUUCUGAUAGCGCAACUUCACACUUAUUUAUCUCCAAUUUCUAUUCAGCACCAGUGCUUAGUUACUUAACCAAAAUUGUUCUCCUUACAUAGAUCUACAAACUUGAUGUGUUGACAUGGGGCAAAAUCUUCAUAAUUUGGAAGAUAUAGGGCUUCAAAGUUGAGCCAAUUCACUGAAACUCAUACUUAAUAGAGUUUAAGUUGGACUUUUUGCAAAUAAGUCCAAAUCUCAAGGUUUAAUUUGCAAAUCCACAUACAUGUGAAUCAUAUGGGUUAAGGUACCCUAAUUUCAUGGUUUUGCACUUAGGUCCAAAAAUGUGCACAUUUUGCAUAUAACCCCUUAGGGUUUCAGUCUAGGGUUUUCCAGGGGUCUAUUUAGGGUAUUUGGUACUUCUAGGGUUUGGAUAUCACUUAAGUUCAUUAAUGGUGACAUUUUAUGAUCAUUAUUUUCAAGUUUUGAAGUUUUCUCUUGUUUAGGCUUUAUUUACUCUUCUGAGUCUAGUUUAGGGUUAAGUACCCUAUUUUAGGCUUUUACCCACAACUAGUGACAUUCACACAACUUGUUUGAAAUUUUUGCCUGGUGAAUGCAUUCUAAGUGUGACAAACACAUGAUAUGCCAACGCUUAUGAUGUUAUGCUCAAGUUUUAGUAUCUACCAAGACACUUGCCACCGAAACUGUAUUUUUAUUUUUUUAUCAACUUAAAUAUUUGAAGUAUUUACACCUACCACAGGGUUUUCUCCAAUUUUCAACAGAUGCUGGCUGGCCGAUGUUACUCAACAAUUAGCCAAGACACCUAUCGACCACUAAAUAUCGUAUAAUGUCUCCCACAUCAGGACAUCGACUCCAAACAUCGACGAAAUACAUCCAAAGCAACUUAACAACAUCUAUCUGCCAGAUCUUAGAAACACUAGUCCUAUAAUUUGUAUUAUUAAUUCGGUCACAUAAUUUAGAUAUGUCUACCCUCACCAUUCAUAUGAGUCGCAUCUAAAAUCCCGAUUUCAACACACAUAUGCUAAAUCAAGAAAAUAAUCGCGUUAAACAAUUCUAUUUGAUCCAUCAACCCAAUCAACUAAUAAAAAUAGUGAAUCAGCUUACCUAAAUCCGAUUUGGAAUUC